rnacentral:rRNA from 1 species
UGGAGAUUGACUUGGAGGCCUUGGGCGACAUUGUGCAUCAAGUUCUUUCUUUGGCUUGCCAUGCAAGACCGAUGUUGGACGGCGGACCACCUAGCUCGCCAUGGCUUACCUCACGACACUACCUGCACCCUGUGCGACCAAGUGCCCGAGAGCAUAAACCAUCUCCUCGCAGGUUGCUCCUUCUCGAGGCAGGUAUGGCACGAGAUUCUUGGCUGGGUGAGAGCUACGACCGACCUACCGGAUGCCGACACAGCUUUCCAGUCCUGGUGGGUUGCGUCAUGCGACCACGCACCUGCUUCCACCCGCAAGGGGUUGUCCUCCCUCAUCAUCCUUACCACCUGAUGGCUUUAGAAGCACCGCAACGGAUGCAUUUUUGAUGGCGACCACCCAUCGAUUUCCAGCAUGUGCGCUACCAUCAAAGAUAACGAAAACAUAUAG